GAUGAAGAACGCAGCGAAAUGCGAUAAGUAAUGUGAAUUGCAGAAUUCAGUGAAUCAUCGAAUCUUUGAACGCACCUUGCACUCCUUGGUAUUCCGAGGAGUACGCCUGUUCGAGUGUUAUGAAGCUCUCAAAACGCAAUUGGCUUAAAACCUGAUUGUUGUUUUGGAUUUGAACUUUGCCGUGUUAUAACGGCUGGUUUUAAAAGUAUUAGCUGGUACUAGAACGAAUUGGUUCUACUCAACGUGAUAAUUAUCUGAUCGUUGAGGACAUUCCUUUCACGAGGAAUGGCCUUAGUAAAUUCAAUGGACUGCUUCUAAUCUGGCUUUAAUUCUUUAUUGGAUUAACCACUUUUCAAAUCUGACCUCGAAUCAGGUGGGACUACCCGCUGAACUUAAGCAUAUCAAUAAGCGGAGGA
rnacentral:misc_RNA from 1 species